rnacentral:rRNA from 1 species
GACGAACGCUGGCGGCGUGCCUAAUACAUGCAAGUCGAACGCUGAAGGAGGAGCUUGCUUCUCUGGAUGAGUUGCGAACGGGUGAGUAACGCGUAGGUAACCUGCCUGGUAGCGGGGGAUAACUAUUGGAAACGAUAGCUAAUACCGCAUAAGAGUAGAUGUUGCAUGACAUUUGCUUAAAAGGUGCAAUUGCAUCACUACCAGAUGGACCUGCGUUGUAUUAGCUAGUUGGUGGGGUAACGGCUCACCAAGGCGACGAUACAUAGCCGACCUGAGAGGGUGAUCGGCCACACUGGGACUGAGACACGGCCCAGACUCCUACGGGAGGCAGCCGUAGGGAAUCUUCGGCAAUGGACGGAAGUCUGACCGAGCAACGCCGCGUGAGUGAAGAAGGUUUUCGGAUCGUAAAGCUCUGUUGUAAGAGAAGAACGAGUGUGAGAGUGGAAAGUUCACACUGUGACGGUAGCUUACCAGAAAGGGACGGCUAACUACGUG